rnacentral:rRNA from 1 species
AACGAACGCUGGCGGCAGGCCUAACACAUGCAAGUCGAACGCUCGUAGCAAUACGGGAGUGGCAGACGGGUGAGUAACGCGUGGGAACGUACCCUUUGGUUCGGAACAACUCCGGGAAACUGGAGCUAAAACCGGAUAAGCCCUACGGGGGAAAGAUUUAUCGCCGAAGGAUCGGCCCGCGUCUGAUUAGCUAGUUGGUGGGGUAAUGGCCCACCAAGGCGACGAUCAGUAGCUGGUCUGAGAGGAUGAUCAGCCACACUGGGACUGAGACACGGCCCAGACUCCUACGGGAGGCAGCAGUGGGGAAUAUUGGUCAAUGGGCGCAAGCCUGAUCCAGCCAUGCCGCGUGAGUGAUGAAGGCCUUAGGGUUGUAAAGCUCUUUCGCGCGCGACGAUAAUGACGGUAGCGCGAGAAGAAGCCCCGGCUAACUUCGUGCCAGCCGCCGCCGUAACAC